rnacentral:rRNA from 1 species
UACGGAGGGUGCAAGCGUUAUCCGGAUUCACUGGGCUUAAAGGGUGCGUAGGUGGCUUUGUAAGUCAGUGGUGAAAUCUUAGAGCUUAACUCUAAAACUGCCAUUGAUACUGCUUAGCUUGAAUCAAGUAGAGGUGGAUGGAAUAUUACAUGUAGCGGUGAAAUGCUUAGAUAUGUAAUAGAACACCGAUUGCGAAGGCAGUUCACUAUGCUUGUAUUGACACUGAGGCACGAAAGCGUGGGGAUCAAACAGG